AACAGGAUUAGAUACCCUGGUAGUCCACGCCGUAAACGAUGAGUGCUAGGUGUUGGGGGUUUCCGCCCUCUGUGCCGAAGGUAACCCAAUAAGCACUCCGCCUGGGGAGUACGGCCGCAAGGCUGAAACUCAAAGGAAUUGACGGGGGCCCGCACAAGCGGUGGAGCAUGUGGUUUAAUUCGAAGCAACGCGAAGAACCUUACCAGGUCUUGACAUCCCGCUGAUCGGUGUAGAGAUAUGCCUUUCCUUCGGGACAGCGGUGACAGGUGGUGCAUGGUUGUCGUCAGCUCGUGUCGUGAGAUGAUGGGUUCAGUCCCGCAACGAGCGCAACCCUUGUCGUCAGUUGCCAGCACGUAAAGGUGGGCACUCUGGCGAGACGGCCGGUGAAAGCCGGAGGAAGGUGGGGAUGACGUCAAAUCAUCAUGCCCCUUAUGUCCUGGGCUACACACGUGCUGCAAUGGCCGGUACAACGGGUAGCGAACCCGCGAGGGGGAGCCAAUCCAAAAAACCGGUCUCAGUUCGGAUCGCAGGCUGCAACUCGCCUGCGUGAAGCUGGAAUCGCUAGUAAUCGCGGAUCAGCAUGCCGCGGUGAGUCCGUUCCCGGGCCUUGUACACACCGCCCGUCACACCACGAGAGUCUGCAACACCCGAAGUCGGUGAGGUAACCUUCGGGAACCAGCCGCCGAAGGUGGGGCAGAUGAUUGGGGUGAAGUCGUAACAAGGUAACC
rnacentral:rRNA from 1 species